UUUGACUGAAAUACAUGAUAUUCUGAUUCUGUUUGUUAUAUGCCAUGACAUGUAUCUGUUGCAUGGGGUUGGGUUUUGUUAUGGAGGAAGAACCCGUUCUGGUGGCUGUGCCACAUAUUCCGAUAUAAGCAGCUUUGCUGCGGAUUAUAGUUAGUGCCGCAACUGGUGCUAACACUGUAAGUGUAGGGAUGGCGUGGGUGAUUUAUUCCCCACAGGAAGUGUAGGGAUGGACGGAGGGAAGUGCAGGGUUGGAUGGGGUUAUCAUGCAUUAAUCAUAUGAGACUGUUUUAUUAUAGGCCAACUGUAUUAAAAUGGUCCUAACUGUGUUAAUAUGGGUAAGACCCAA
rnacentral:lncRNA from 1 species